GUAUAAGUGACAGCAGCAGCCGCGGGAAUACGGAGGGUGCAAGCGUUAUCCGGAUUUAUUGGGUUUAAAGGGUCCGUAGGCGGACUUAUAAGUCAGUGGUGAAAGCCUGUCGCUUAACGAUAGAACUGCCAUUGAUACUGUAAGUCUUGAGUAUAUUUGAGGUAGCUGGAAUAAGUAGUGUAGCGGUGAAAUGCAUAGAUAUUACUUAGAACACCAAUUGCGAAGGCAGGUUACCAAGAUAUAACUGACGCUGAGGGACGAAAGCGUGGGUAGCGAACAGGAUUAGAUACCCCGGUAGUCCCUGUCUCUUAUAC
rnacentral:rRNA from 1 species